UGUUCCAGCUCUGCACAGCACCUUAGUGUCUCUGGAGCUUCUUGUAACUGAUGUAUUUUGCGGAGAAGCCAAAGAGAAGACCAGGUGUUACACCAGGAACCCAGAAAUCCACAUCUGAAAAACUGUAUCAAGCACAUAUGGACAAAAUCACAAAUCUGGUUGAUAAACUCUGAAAUGAUUACUUGAUGCAAUAGACUUUUUGAAAGCAUUGUCAGUGGAGAAUGGAUGUCCUUAUGCAGAGCCUGUUUCUCUACUACAUCAAGCACUUCAAAAAUGCUCCAUCAGAACUUGACUUUCCAGAUGCAAACAACACACAGCUCAUCAGGCCAUAUGUCUUCCUGAAAGAGAUGACUAGAACAUUGAAGCUAACACCUCUGGAGCAACCAGCUCUGCCUACACAUCAAGCUGCCAGAAGAAACCAUUCUAAAGUUGCAAACGCUGUUUAAUACCAUACAAUUCCAAUGGGUAGGGCUCUCUUCAAGCAAGGCUUUCUGUAGCAGCUCGGGAAGCAGAAAGAGAUGAGAGACAUUGCAAGAGGAGGAGGAAAACGAAACUGUUUUAUAUCAUAGAACUGUAAGGUCCCUUCCAACCUAAACCGAUCAUUGAGUUCCAACCCCCCUGCCAUGGGCAGGGACAACUCCCACUUGACGAGGUUACUCAAAGCCCCAUCCAGCCCGAUCUUAAAACACUUCCAGGAAUGGAGUGUCCACAGCUUCUGUGGGCAACCCAUCCCACUGUCUCACCAUCCUGUUAAAAAUAAAUACUUCUUCCUGAUAUCUGAUCUAAAUCUCCCCUCUUUCAGUUUAAAACCAUUAUCCUUUGUCCUAUUACUACACUCCCUGAUAGAGAGUCCCUCCCAUCUCUCCUGCAGGCCCCCUUUAGGUACUGAAAGGCUGUAAGGUCUCCCCAGAGCCUUCUCUUCUCCAGGUUGAACAACCCCAACUCUCUCAGCCUGUCCUCAUAUCGCACACUAGAGUUUCUCUGUCAUUACUAAGCAGCAGCACACAGGGUGCAGUGAAAGGGUUAGAAAAAAUAUAUAUGUAGCUUUUAACACAGAACAGAAGCAGGAACAGAAAUCCCCCUUUUUGCCAUUCUUCAACAUAAAGAGAGUGCAUGCUUGCUAAUACACCCAUCUCGAGGACUUCUCUGGAAGCACUUUUCAAGAUCAUCAGAGGUUAUUCUUAGUAACUCAGGGAAAAGGUUUCCACAUUUUAGGUGCAGACAAUGAGUUACAGUAAAAACUGUUAUCAGUGAAAAGCUAUAUGAGCUUUUCCACUGGCAAAAUGUAGUUACUGGAUGAAAGGGUUUUUUCCCUUGUUUCAUCAGUCAUCUGCUACUCUGCUAUGCCAUGGAAAUAGGUCAUGGAAAUACUAAUCAGAAGUUCUGGAUGAUAUCUUGCACCAAAGUAAGCACCAUCCAUCUCCCUUACAAUCUCUUUGCUGUUCUCUGAAGAGAGCACGAGCACACCGACAAAGAGCAAGGCUGGCCAUUAGCUGAAGCAGUGGUGGGUCUAAACAGUGGUUGGUGAGAUGUCACACAUAACACAGUGCUGAAGCGAGAGGUCUUUCCACAGGCAACUAGGACAGAUUCUUCAUUAAACGACUUCCUGACCUCAGUGCAGAAUAUUGGCCCGGCAUCAUCGAUGCUGGUAUUCUCAGCAUCACGCUGCGAUGCUGGGCUCUACACUGAAGUGUUGUGUGACAAGACUUAAUCACCACGGGGAGGACAAGAAAGAGGAAAAAACCCUAUUUAAGGGGACAACACAGUGCCCAAUGAAGCUACUAGCAGGAAUAUUGCUAAAGCAUCAGUUAUUUUUGUCAAAAUAAAAGACGACACUUCAUUCUACAGUGUACUUGUUGAGAUGCAAUAUACGACUUUAUUUUAUUUUUUAACACACCAUUUGAAGCAUUGUUCUGACAAACAGCUGCACUGCAGUGAAAAACCAAGAAAACCCCAUGUGAUCUCAGCUGUCUAUACAAAGGCCUGAAAAAUGGGAAGUAGGGCUUUUAAGCACACUUGGCUAAAGAUACUCAACAUCAGUCAAGUGGAGAUACUCAUGUAUCAUUCCAGUUCACAUCAUGGAUCUAUUACUGGAACACUCCCAUAACAAAGUUACAAUACACACGUACGUUCUCAGGACGGUCCAAUUCUAGGAGGCACUACAACAGUCUGAGAAAAUUGAGAAGCUGAAAAAUAUUACAGAAUAAGGAAAAUCUAAUGCAAGAGCUCGUCAACGUAUUUCUUCUGAAGCUUGGGGGAUUCAGGCAUAGUGCUAUAGACUGAGACAUGCUGUUCCAUGCAGAGGCAUAAAGUCAUAUACUUUUUAAACACAAAAGCAAGUAAGUUGCCACUACUAUUUUAUGCUGUUAAAUUUCCACUUUCUCACUUCUUGUUUGAAGAAACUUCCAACCAUUUCAGAACAUGUGCCUUUCCCCUGAGGACAAAAGGUGCUGGAUCUGCUCAGGACUGAAUUUCUGAUAAGUAUUCUUAGUUUCAAAACAGAUGAGGACUGAAUGCAUCUUGAAGACUGAAAAGCUAGUCACACCUGUCAGUUAAAGUGAAAAAGAUAAAAAUUUUGCUAGUCUUCCCAUGAACAACAAUUUUGAUUGAAAAAAGUUUCAUCUAGUAGAUAAUACCCAUUUAACAACAUAUUAUGUGUUACUAGAAGGGACAUGUUUAAAUCAGUCUUCAAGCAAAUUUCUUUAACUACAGCACAGUCACCUUAAACAUUUCCCCUGCACCUCCCAUCCCCCAAUUCCAAAUCUUUGUGGUCAUCCAAUACAGAGAUACAUAAAAUACCAAAGUCAACAACAGCUCUUAUUUGAUAUUUAAUGCUCAGAGUCUUCCUAUGGUGUGGGAGA